ACGGCGCGGACCCUCCCCGAGCGCGCCCUCCGCCCGCUCACCCUCCGCUGCUGCUGCUGCUGCGCCGGCGCCGCGGCGGCGAGCUCGUUCUGCGACAGGGUGGAGGGGGUCAAGUCAGCACAGCAAACCUCUUGGGGGAUAUGGAUACCCGAGGUAGAGGAGGGAAGAAGGCGAACCUUGUGGGCGAAGGCGGCAGCGGAGGCCUUGGCGGCGGCGGAGAUGGAGGCCAUGGCAGCGGUGGGGGAGCGAGCGGCGGCGAAAUGGCGAGCGGGAUUGGGGCGGCUAGCGUGCGUGGCGU
rnacentral:lncRNA from 1 species